UCCUCCGUGGCGCAAUUGGCUAGCGCGUCGUAAGUUAAAUUCUAACAUUGUUGAUAAUAUAAUCUAACCAUUACGGUAGUGACUGUUAAUCAGGAGGUUGAAAGUUCGAGCCUUUCCGGGGGAG